GGGUUGCGGACAGUGUCUGGUGGGUAGUUUGACUGGGGCGGUCUCCUCCUAAAGAGUAACGGAGGAGCACGAAGGUUGGCUAAUCCUGGUCGGACAUCAGGAGGUUAGUGCAAUGGCAUAAGCCAGCUUGACUGCGAGCGUGACGGCGCGAGCAGGUGCGAAAGCAGGUCAUAGUGAUCCGGUGGUUCUGAAUGGAAGGGCCAUCGCUCAACGGAUAAAAGGUACUCCGGGGAUAACAGGCUGAUACCGCCCAAGAGUUCAUAUCGACGGCGGUGUUUGGCACCUCGAUGUCGGCUCAUCACAUCCUGGGGCUGAAGUAGGUCCCAAGGGUAUGGCUGUUCGCCAUUUAAAGUGGUACGCGAGCUGGGUUUAGAACGUCGUGAGACAGUUCGGUCCCUAUCUGCCGUGGGCGCUGGAGAACUGAGGGGGGCUGCUCCUAGUACGAGAGGACCGGAGUGGACGCAUCACUGGUGUUCGGGUUGUCAUGCCAAUGGCACUGCCCGGUAGCUAAAUGCGGAAGAGAUAAGUGCUGAAAGCAUCUAAGCACGAAACUUGCCCCGAGAUGAGUUCUCCCUGA
rnacentral:rRNA from 1 species